UGAUCAUAUUCAUUUCAUCAA
rnacentral:piRNA from 1 species